rnacentral:rRNA from 1 species
GAUGAACGCUGGCUACAGGCUUAACACAUGCAAGUCGAGGGGAAACGACGGGGAAGCUUGCUUCCCCGGGCGUCGACCGGCGCACGGGUGAGUAACGCGUAUCCAACCUGCCUCUGACUGAGGGAUAACCCGUCGAAAGUCGGCCUAAUACCUCAUGGCAUCGUCUGCGGGCAUCCAACGACGAUUAAAGAUUUCAUCGGUCAGGGAUGGGGAUGCGUCUGAUUAGCUUGUUGGCGGGGUAACGGCCCACCAAGGCUACGAUCAGUAGGGGUUCUGAGAGGAAGGUCCCCCACAUUGGAACUGAGACACGGUCCAAACUCCUACGGGAGGUAGCAGUGAGGAAUAUUGGUCAAUGGGCGGGAGCCUGAACCAGCCAAGUAGCGUGCAGGAUGACGGCCCUAUGGGUUGUAAACUGCUUUUAUGCGGGGAUAAAGUGAGGGACGUGUCCUUCAUUGCAGGUACCGCAUGAAUAAGGACCGGCUAAUUCCGUG